GGGCAAGGCUUUAGCGGCCAACACGCUGCUCAUGUCCCCGCCUCUUCUGCUGUCUUUCAGUGACCCGGGAUGCCGUUUCAGAGCCCGCAGCAUCCUGGCACAUUUCAGAGGUGCCCUUAGGAAGAAGAGAUCUCAUUCUGCUGCAUCCCUUGAAGCAGAGUUCACCAGGCCGAGCUGUCCUUUGGACCUAACCUUCUCACAGCCAAGGCCCUCAUCAGCACUGGCAGCCCUGUGACCCGGGAUGCCGUUUCAGAGCCCGCAGCAUCCUGGCACAUUUCAGAGGUGCCCUUAGGAAGAAGAGAUCUCAUUCUGCUGCAUCCCUUGAAGCAGAGUUCACCAGGCCGAGCUGUCCUUUGGACCUAACCUUCUCACAGCCAAGGCCCUCAUCAGCACUGGCAGCCCUGUGACCCGGGAUGCCGUUUCAGAGCCCGCAGCAUCCUGGCACAUUUCAGAGGUGCCCUUAGGAAGAAGAGAUCUCAUUCUGCUGCAUCCCUUGAAGCAGAGUUCACCAGGCCGAGCUGUCCUUUGGACCUAACCUUCUCACAGCCAAGGCCCUCAUCAGCACUGGCAGCCCUGUGACCCGGGAUGCCGUUUCAGAGCCCGCAGCAUCCUGGCACAUUUCAGAGGUGCCCUUAGGAAGAAGAGAUCUCAUUCUGCUGCAUCCCUUGAAGCAGAGUUCACCAGGCCGAGCUGUCCUUUGGACCUAACCUUCUCACAGCCAAGGCCCUCAUCAGCACUGGCAGCCCUGUGACCCGGGAUGCCGUUUCAGAGCCCGCAGCAUCCUGGCACAUUUCAGAGGUGCCCUUAGGAAGAAGAGAUCUCAUUCUGCUGCAUCCCUUGAAGCAGAGUUCACCAGGCCGAGCUGUCCUUUGGACCUAACCUUCUCACAGCCAAGGCCCUCAUCAGCAC